rnacentral:rRNA from 1 species
GACGAACGCUGGCGGCGUGCUUAACACAUGCAAGUCGAACGGAAAGGCCCUGCUUUUGUGGGGUGCUCGAGUGGCGAACGGGUGAGUAACACGUGAGUAACCUGCCCUUGACUUUGGGAUAACUUCAGGAAACUGGGGCUAAUACCGGAUAGGAGCUCCUGCUGCAUGGCGGGGGUUGGAAAGUUUUGGCGGUUGGGGAUGGACUCGCGGCUUAUCAGCUUGUUGGUGGGGUAGUGGCUUACCAAGGCUUUGACGGGUAGCCGGCCUGAGAGGGUGACCGGCCACAUUGGGACUGAGAUGCGGCCCAGACUCCUACGGGAGGCAGCAGUGGGGAAUAUUGCACAAUGGGCGGAAGCCUGAUGCAGCAACGCCGCGUGCGGGAUGACGGCCUUCGGGUUGUAAACCGCUUUCGCCUGUGACGAAGCGUGAGUAACGGUAAUGGGUAAAGAAGCACCGGCUAACUACGUG